GCACAUGCCAGGAAAGCUACUGCUCACCAGAAAAAAGAAAACAAACUCAUCUCCUUCAAGCCAGUACAUCUUCUUUCCCAAAAGUAACCAGAUGAGCUGGAACAAGAAGAAGACAGGACACUUCAUUACAAGGCAGAGCCUGGAACAAAACCUCACCACAGAGCCUUAGGGUGCAAAGAAGAAGGGAAAGUACUGGGAAUGUCUGCCUGGAUAUAACUGACCAGAAGGAUGAAUCUUCUUGCAUGUUGUCAGAACUCCAGGACUCAUGGGUGUCUUGCUCCCAGUGGGAGUGGAGAAAAAUGUAGCCAUGAAAAUCAGGUGAACUGCAGCGUGAGAACUCUCAUUUUUCAUGAGAGGAGAGGAUAACAGCAAGCAAAAGCUAAAAAAGAAUUGAACCCAAAUAUUUAGGAAGGAGACGCUACUGGGGCUUGUUGAAACUUGGGAAACAAAAGCAUAGAAAUGUUGCAGGAAAUGAACACUGGAAAACUGACUGUAGUCACAAUCAGGGAUUUAGUUACAUCAAAAUAUCAUUUAAAACUUGGAUAUUUAUGAAGUAUCAAGUGAAAAGAGAAAGAAUUAAUACAAAACUAGGUACUGUUUUGUAUUAGCAAUAGCAUCACAACUGGCAGCUGAUCUGCAUGUGCCUUGGUUUGCAAUAGUGGCACGAGUUCUAGAAGCUCAUUAAUUCAUUGGCACAGAUUAGAAAAACGGAUAUAUUCUUUUCCUGUCAAAACACAAUGUAACCCAAAGCAAAAGGAGUCUCUGUGCUUUCGCAGCUCAUGAUGAAGUGCAAACUGAGUUUUCAAAAGCUUCCUUUAGAUGUACUUAAGGACUUGCUGGGGGAGAAGUGGGGACAUCUACUGGAAUUUUAAAACACUUCAUCAUAUGUUUCCAAGGCUGCUAGUGAGAUGUAUUUGGUUUAAGUCUAAAGUUGGAUGAAUAAUGCAGAAACAAUUUCUACUUAUAUUUGUGCAAACUUGGAAGCAAAUCUUCAGCCAUCUUAGGGUUGCUUUUGGUGUCAUUUCC
rnacentral:lncRNA from 12 species